CAUAUUCAAUCUCCAAAAUUUUCAACCAUAAAUCACCACAACAACAUUAAUAUGUCAGAGUUCUCCCCACCGCUAACUCGGUGCCAACGGUCUCGAUUCCUUUUCGAGACUCAAGGAACUAACUACAUAAACAUAAAUAUUUAUAACAAUUUGUUCACAAUAAAAUUAAUCCAUACACAACAAAAUUCCUAAAAUUAAAUCUUUCUCUCACACCAAACUUUUAAAACCAAAUAAUCUAUAUUAUUUAGUUAAAACUAAAAAAAAUAAAUAUUGUCCAAAUUUCACAUACACAUACUCGACUAUUAAAACACCCAAAUUUUUGAGUUAAUAAAAUACUCUAAACCUUUUUUUUUCUUUUUAAACUCAAUCAAAGAGUAACAUUUUAAACUCUAACGAUUGUUAAUUUCAAUAUAUCUUUUUGCUCAAACUCUUUAACUUAGUUAAAAUUUGAAUUUUUUUACAACUUUAACAACUCUAAAUUUUUCGUAAAAUUUCAACUUCAGUUCAAACUCAUUUAUUUAAAAAUAACUCUUUACGUUACUCAAACACAUCAAAUUUAAUCACUACACAUAUAAAUCACAUUAAAUUCAUUUUCUACAAAUCCACACAUCAAAUACAUCAAAUUUCUUUUCCACAAAAUCACAAAUAAUGUCCUAAAUGCAAACUAAAAGUUUGGAAGGAGCCCUUAUCUUAACGACAGCUCUACCACGCGAUUACGGUACCGUAAUUAAUUAUGGUAAAAUUUAAGUUCGUGACGUCGCGUCGAAAACUAGCCCACUAGCAUCGUAGCGUGGCAAGGAGCAACUUUCUCUUCUGUCACUUCUCAAAACGAAGCUUAGAUCUAGUAAAUAAAUGAGGGUUUGUGUUUUAUGGUUUUAGUUUUGUUUUUGGAAAACAAAGGAAAGAAGGAGAAGAAGAUUCACGAGGCCUUGCUUUCUGUUUCUCUGUCU
rnacentral:lncRNA from 1 species